rnacentral:tRNA from 1 species
CCAGAUAGCUUAAGGGAAAAGCGCUGGACUUUUAAUCCAGAUAUGCUGGUUCGAAUCCGGUAACGGC